rnacentral:rRNA from 1 species
UGGGGAAUAUUGCACAAUGGGCGCAAGCCUGAUGCAGCCAUGCCGCGUGUAUGAAGAAGGCCUUCGGGUUGUAAAGUACUUUCAGCGUGGAGGAAGGGAGUAAAGUUAAUACCUUUGCUCAUUGACGUUACCCGCAGAAGAAGCACCGGCUAACUCCGUGCCAGCAGCCGCGGUAAUACGGAGGGUGCAAGCGUUAAUCGGAAUUACUGGGCGUAAAGCGCACGCAGGCGGUUUGUUAAGUCAGAUGUGAAAUCCCCGGGCUCAACCUGGGAACUGCAUCUGAUACUGGCAAGCUUGAGUCUCGUAGAGGGGGGUAGAAUUCCAGGUGUAGCGGUGAAAUGCGUAGAGAUCUGGAGGAAUACCGGUGGCGAAGGCGGCCCCCUGGACGAAGACUGACGCUCAGGUGCGAAAGCGUGGGGAGCAAACAGG